AUACUUAUCUGGCAGGGGAUACCAUGAUCACCAAGGUGGUUACCCCAAAGCUAAGCAUCUGGCUUACACUCCAGAUGCUGAACACUACAUGUGCUGAACACUGUGAUUUCAAUGUGGGAAACUUGACUGCAUAAUUUGUGGUAGUAGGGGACUGUGUUUGUGCUUGUCCCUG